UCUUGAAGACUUGCCAUGACGAAGCUUUUGCAGCGUUUCUCUAUUUCACGAGCCACUUGCGGGCGAAAAGCGUCAUUGUCGAAGAAAGUGUCGCAGAGGAAGGCCGGAAAUUUCACCGAGAGAAGCACAGGAAGAAAACUGCAAACCACAAAAAGUGCACAGCGCUGAAUUCUCGAAACUCGAAAUUGAUUUAGUGACCAUGUGUGACAAAUCGUUGUUUGCUUGCAACAUUGCUGCUGCAACAGCAACUGGCAUUGCAAUUGCGCUACUGUCAUUGGUGAGCGUAAUAUUAGCUUGUGCAACUGCCAGUGCAGCGGCUGCCAACGACACGUACGUGAGCUCCGCUGCUGCGGCGGGCUCAAGUGCAGUGCCACCACCGGAUGAGGCACUCAUCAUUGCCACUGAGGUGCAGCAGUUCACCAGCGCAGCGCUACUGAAAAUCGAUAAUGUGUUGGUGCACAAACUGCCCAAGCGGAUGCACGACGAGGGUGAGGCGGUGCGUGCCGAGGCGGUGCAACAGUUCGAACAGUGCGCACAGUUAGCCACAAGCAAAGAGCAAAUUUGGCGUUUUAAAGAAUGUGGCGCGGAAGAGUUGGGUCGCGUAAUGCAACGGCUUGGCUUGCUGAUUGAGCAGGCGUAUAGCGGCGGGCCGAGUGUGGCGGGGCAUGCCUUCUGGUGGAGACUCUUGAAAUUAGUUGGAUUCUAGUGAAAUGUUGCAUUCGAGUUUGAGACUGCACAUGCAGCACGUGUGCGGAAAUGCAGCGCUGAUUGCGUUAAAGAGUGAGAGAGAGAGAGUUAAUAUGGAUAUAUGAGCUGUGGAUGUUGCAGGAAUUGUUAUAUGAAUCUAAGAAUAUUAAUUUAAAUACAUAUUGUUUUCGAUAAAUUAAAAUUAAAUAAAAACAAUUCAUUUGAUCAUUCGA